UGGGGAAUAUUGGACAAUGGGCGCAAGCCUGAUCCAGCAAUGCCGCGUGGGUGAAGAAGGUUUUCGGAUUGUAAAGCCCUUUCGGCGGGGACGAUGAUGAAGGUACCCGCAGAAGAAACUCCGGCUAACUUCUUGCCAGCAGCCGCGGGAAUAAGAAGGGGGCUGGCGUUGCUCGGAAUGACUGGGCGUAAAGGGCGCGUAGGCGGUUUGCACAGUCAGAUGUGAAAUUCCUGGGCUUAACCUGGGGGCUGCAUUUGAUACGUGUGGGCUUGAGUGGGGAAGAGGGUCGUGGAAUUCCCAGUGUAGAGGUGAAAUUCGUAGAUAUUGGGAAGAACACCGGUGGCGAAGGCGGCGACCUGGUCCUUGACUGACGCUGAGGCGCGAAAGCGUGGGGAGCAAACA
rnacentral:rRNA from 1 species